AUUGCUUCUCAGCCUUUUGGCUAAGAUCAAGUGUAGUAUCUGUUCUUAUCUGUUUCACAUCUGAUAUGUCCUGUAUCCGAGGACAAAAUAUCAAAUGGACUUUUGAAACUAGGAGAUGAAACAGGAGCUUGCUGUCUACUCCAUGCAUCACCUUGGUAUUGUAGUACUUCCAGGAAUGCACCAAGA